rnacentral:rRNA from 1 species
ACGAACGCUGGCGGCGUGCUUCACACAUGCAAGUCGAACGGAAAGGCCCUGCUUUUGUGGGGUGCUCGAGUGGCGAACGGGUGAGUAACACGUGAGUAACCUGCCCUUGACUUUGGGAUAACUUCAGGAAACUGGGGCUAAUACCGGAUAGGAGCUCCUGCUGCAUGGUGGGGGUUGGAAAGUUUCGGCGGUUGGGGAUGGACUCGCGGCUUAUCAGCUUGUUGGUGGGGUAGUGGCUUACCAAGGCUUUGACGGGUAGCCGGCCUGAGAGGGUGACCGGCCACAUUGGGACUGAGAUACGGCCCAGACUCCUACGGGAGGCAGCAGUGGGGAAUAUUGCACAAUGGGCGGAAGCCUGAUGCAGCAACGCCGCGUGCGGGAUGACGGCCUUCGGGUUGUAAACCGCCUUCGCCUGUGACGAAGCGUGAGUGACGGUAAUGGGUAAAGAAGCACCGGCUAACUACGUG